rnacentral:lncRNA from 1 species
UCACAAAUAAAACAAAUUUGCUGAGGCGGCUCGACUAAGACGUACGGGCAGCAUAAUUAAGUCCUCAUAACUCUCAAGUGCAGGCAUCAAAAAAUCAAAACUGAGAAUGACUGGUGAUAUAUAUAUAUAUAUAUAUAUAUAGACACCUCAAUCAAUUAAGAAAGAAGCAAAUUAUAAUCAUGGCUUCUAUAGCUGAUCAGGAAGAAGAGACAAAUAAUUUCUCACAUGCAAUGGGACUUGCAAGUGCAAUAGUGCUACCUGCAGUUAUGCAAGCAGUGGUAGAGCUUGAUGUGUUUGAGAUCAUAAGCAAAGCCGGUCCUGGUGCUAAGCUUUCGGUUGCGGAGAUUGUGGCUCAAAUUCCCUUAAAAGAUAAUAAUCCUGAAGCUGCAGCCACGACGUUGGAUCGGGUGCUGAGGCUGCUUGUCAGCUACAACGCUCUUCAUUGCUCUUUUGUCGAUGGACAAAGGCUCUACUCUCUUGCUCCUGUUUCUAAACACUUUGUUCGCAACAAUCGAGACGGCGUGUCGUUGCGUCCCUACAUGGCCUUGUGUCUCGACAAGAUCUGCUUGGAUGGCUGGUACAUAGAACUGCUUCUUUUCUUUACCGUUUCAGUAAAUCGAUCAUUUUCAUUCUCAUGAUUUAAAAUCGAUUAAACUCUGUUAAAAAGAUAUUUAAUUUUCAGUUAGUUUACCAUUAAUGUUAUAAAUGACACAAAAAGUAGAAAGUUAAUGAUUUCUUUUUUUUUUUAAUGACGGAGGAUUCUCAAAUAUGAAAACAAAAAUGAUUGAUUUUAACGAACAACAACGUUUUUUUUUUCGUUUCUCGACAAAAAUUAGUUUUUCGAAUUUCAAGGUUAAUUGUGUGGUCUAAUUUUUGAAUCACCAGCACCAAACCAAGCUUCUGAAAUAGUUACUAACUGUGUUUGGAUUUUGAUAAAUUCAGGUUUGGAUUGAAAAAGCAAAUUCUUGAAGGAGGAAUUGCGUUUAAUAAAGCGCACGGAAUGCAAAUCUAUGAUUACUUAGGCGUCGACUCAAGGUUCAAUGAUGUUUUCAACAAUGGAAUGUUAAGCCACACUUCUAUUGUCAUGGAGAAGGUCCUAGAAUCAUACAAAGGCUUUGAGCAUGUUAAAAAGCUUGUGGAUGUUGGCGGUGGCUUGGGGAUCACUCUUAAUAUGAUAAUUUCAAAAUAUCCUCAUAUUAAGGGUAUUAAUUAUGACUUACCUUAUGUCAUUAAAGAUGCCCCAUCUUAUUCAGGUACUUUAUUUAUAAAAUUUGUAUAGUAUUUUUGUUAAUGAUUCAUCGAUGUUACACUAGCUAACAAAAGUUAGUUUAUUUAAAUUUCAGGGAUAAAACAUAUAGGUGGAGAUUUGUUCAAAAGUAUUCCUGAGGCAGAUACUAUUUUUAUGAAGGUUUAUAUUUUUUUAUAUCACUUGAAAUCAUCAUAAGGAAAAAUUAAAUAGAGAGAAUGACACUUUUCUCCCUAUUGUUUUUGAGUUAAGAUGUAUCCUAACCCUGUUGCUCACUUGGUAUUAGAACUUUGAUAGAAAAAUUCAAAGGGAUAAUAGGAUAUUAUGAAAACUAUUAAAAGAAAAAAAAUGGUGAAACUCAAAACUAUAUAUACAAGGAAAGUGUCAACAACUCUCUUUUUUUCUUCAAUGGUAAAAUGGGUGGGCAAAGCCCAAAUUAACUAAUUAUUGAUCCCAUAUCUCCCUUGAGUUCAAACUUGGGUGACAGUUAAAUAAAAUUGAUUGAAAACAAUUCGAUCAGGCACCUCGGGUGGAAAAUAUCAAUCUCUCUUCUUUAUGAAUGCUUUGUUCAAUCACAUAAAUUGAUCAUAGAUAUCCGGAUAGAACAAAUGAGAAUUAAUAUGAAUACAUGGAACUUUUGCAGUGGAUGCUUCAUAGUUUUGAUGAUGAACAAGCCUUGAAAGUGUUGAAGAAUUGUUAUAAAGCUCUUCCAUAUGGUGGGAAGCUGCUUAAUAUUAAUUCGACAAUUUCGGAAAUGCCUGGGAAUAAUGUAGCUUCAAGGGAAAUCUCUAUUUUGGAUACGGUUUUGUUAGUCCAACUUCCUCAUGGAAGAGAGCGGACCAAACAAGAGUACACUGAAUUGGCAGUCAAAGCUGGAUUUAAAGGUGUCAACUAUGAUUAUGGUGCGUGCAAUUUAUAUGUUAUGGAAUUCUUCAAAUAAAUUGCAUACUUAAUUUCAUUUUGGAAAGAUCUUCUCAACCCUUGGGGAGUUUCCAAUUUCCUAUUUGUGUUAAUUAUUUUCUCUUUUGCUUGGCCUUGGGGCUUGUCUUAUGUACUUUCUUUCAUCUUAUGAAAAUAAUACGUCUCUUAGAAAGAGAUUGAUGGCUGUAUUUGGUACUUCUUAUGUAAUCUUUUUCAGUUCAUACAUUCAGCAUGUGAUUUUUGGUUUAUUAUUGAGGCAAAAAAGAAGUAUUUUUAUCUUGCCUUACUAUUAUUAUUAUUUUUUUGUUCAUUUCAAAGUUGAAAAAAUCAGUAAUGUAUAACUUUUUUAUCAUUUAAAGUAAGAACAUUUGACUUUUGAAAGAGUAGUUAUAGAGAACUCAUUCUAUGCCAUCUCAACCUCACACAAGAGUAAUUAAAACUAGAGCUAAUGUUAAAGUAGUUCUAAAUUUUGAAUUCAUUACAAACUUAUCCUAAAAAUUUGCCUUAGUGGAGUUUAUGUGUGGUACUGGUGUUUAUUUCAUUUUUAUUUCUAAAAACAUAGUAAAUUAAGUGCACCACUAAGUGAACCAGAUGAAGACUGAAAAUUAUUGAAAAAUGGAUUGUGGAGAUUUGGUUUUUCAUCAAACAACUACUAAGAGCUAAUAUUGCUCGAUGGAAAAAGAAAAAAAAUCUGAAUAUUAUGAUUAUCUUUGAAAGGUACAUAGUGAAUAGAGAAAAAAAAAAGAAAAAAAUUUGAGUUCCUUUAUUGGACGAGUAUUUUGAUUAGGAGAAAUUUUAUAAUGUUGUAAUUAAAAUGAUGGUAUCAAUGCCGUGAUAAAUAUGAAUUUUGUAAAUUACGCAUAAGACUGGUAAAUGAAAAGUAAAAUAAGUAAAUUAAUAUAAGAGUGGUAAAUUGGCGUCUUAAAACUACAAACUAAACAAAUAUUUAUAAAAAUAACAUAAAACUUGUAAAUCAACAUUAAACUUUAAUUAAAAAAAUAAUUUAUUCAUUUAAUUUACAUAAAUGAUGAAAAAAUCACUCAUCAAUUGAAAAAAUAUAUAUUUAAAACAAUUGCAAUAAGUUUUAUUGUAUUGGUUUAACUAUAUAUUCUAUAUUCAUUCUUCGACAUAAAAAAAAAUGAAUCUUUUAAAAAAAAAUGAAUCUUUUUCUAUCUAUAGUAUUUGAUACUACACAUGUUAAUUAAGCAAAAAUUUUUUUUUUUUUACGUGAAUCAAGCAAAAAAAAAAAAGAUUUUCUUAUAUUACUAGAUGUACAUGAUAUAUCAAUAAAAUUGGAUCUAAUUUUUAGUGCUAUAUAUACUUCAUGUAAUUUUAAACUAUGUUUCUUAUUGUACUUAAAGAUUAUUUGGGUUUACGGUCAAGGAGGCUUAAAAGGAUAUAACAUCACCUUAUUUUACAAGCAGUGAGGUUUGAAAGUCUAACUUUCAGGAUAUGUUUAUCAUUCUUAUAUUACUAGAUGUACAUGACAUAUCAAUAAAAUUGGAUCUAAUUUUUAGUGUUAUACAUAUUUCAUGUAAUUUUAAACUAUGUUUCUUAUUGUACUUAAAGAUCAUUUGGGUUUACGGUCAAGGAAGCUUAAAAGCAUACAACAUCACCUUAUGUUACAAGCAGUGAGGUUUGAAAGUCUAACUUUCAGGAUAGAUUUAUCAUUAAUAAAAUUUCACAUAUGUCAUCACAUAUAUUAUACAACCUCAUAAUGUGACAAUUAGCUUAUAUAUUUACUAAUUUUGAUUCUAAAUUGAGUUUAGAAUCAAAAUUAUGAGCUAAUAGUCACAUUAUGAGUUUUUAUUUUAUAUUUGUAAGUUUUUAUUUUUUUAAUAACUCUUAUAUUAAGGUACUUGUUUUACCUUCUAUUUACAAGUAUUACAUUCUAUUUAUAUCAUUUAUAUUUUAUUUUAUGAUUAAUGUGGAUUUACCACUUCUAUGUUACAUGUAUAAGUUUUAUUUUAUUUAUCAAUAAUAUAAUGAUUUAUCACUUUUAGGUUAAUUUAUUUGUUUUACCUUCUAUUUACAAGUUUUAUGUCCCAUUUACUUUUUUAUGUUUUAUUUACACUUUAAUGUUAAUUUACAAGUUUUAUACUAUAUGAAUAAGUUUUUGUUUUAUUUACUAAUGAUACACCAAUUAACUACUCCUAUAUUAGUUUACUUAUUUUACCUUCUAUUUACAAAUCUUGUAUUCUAUUUAACACAAAUGUUGGCAUGAGAUUCCUGACAUAUUUCUAAAAUCAAAAUAAGAUGCAUAGAGGACAAUAAUUUUAUUUCAUAAUUAAAAUUUUUGUAAAGAAAGUUUGAAUAUGAGAGGGGUGAGAGAUGAGAAUAUUGACGAUGGUGUGUACUUUGGAUGGAAAAAUAGAUUGAAAAUAUAUAUAGACAUAUUAAAAGAAAAAAAUAUGAUCUAUACCUCAAGAGAAAUAAGAAAUUAUAAAUGCAGGUGGUCAAAUGUAUUUAUAAUUUAUAAUUUUUUAUAAAUAUGAUAAUCAUUAGACCAAUAUAAAAGUCUAGCAAAAAGUUUAAAUUUUUUUAAUAAAUGUAGAAGAGAUGGACGAAGAAACCAGCCAACAGUUCAGAAUUAACAAUUAAAGAUAUGAGGACUUGAUCGAAGAAAUGUGAAAAAUAAAAGGACACUGGGUUGGUUAGCGGGACCCUAAUUUAAUGGUAAAAAAUAAAAGGACACUGGGUUGCUAUCAAUUUCUACGGUGUGGUACGUUCAUAGCCGGGGAAGUAAUUGUAUUAGCGGGACCCUAACAUUAAUAAAAGGACACUGGGUUGUUUAGCGGGACCCUAAUAUUAAUGGUAAAAAAUAAAAGGAAACUGAGUUGGUAUCAAUUUCUACGGUGUAGGUUCAUAGCCGGGGAAGUAAUUAUAUUAGCGGGACCCUAAUAUUAAUGGAGACCUAAUAUUAAUGAUAAAAAAUAAAAGGACACUGGGUUACAAUCAAUUUCUACAGAGUGGGUUCAUAGCCGGAGAAGUAAUUGGGCACAAAUAUCAUGGUGAACACGGAUGAGAAAUAACCAUUUUAUCCCCGCAACUUUAUGUUUAUGGCCUCUAAAAAUUUUCACCUCUUUCACUUCUGGAACCCGCGCUUUCUGGCACAUGCACAAUACUUGGUUGCGACUUAUAGAGAGUUUUAGAAUUGCAACGACAUGGUGCUCUUUGAUAAUUCAAAAAUCCAAUAGAAUUUAUAGAGAAUUACAGAAUUGUGGUACGUGAUAAUUUGCUGAUGCAGUGAGGGGCCGAAAUUCUUGUACAUGUGAUUAAGUUAUAGAUGUAUAAUUAAGUAAUUAGCAAGCACUAAUUGGGGGUAUUUGUGUCCAUGAAAAUUUACAGUUGGUUGUUGACAUUAUACUGUGGGUGCGUAAGUGCAAUCACGAUCUGACCAUUCAAAUUAAAAAAUGGGGGUCCCACUAAUUAUAAAGUUUGUAAUUAUCACAUAUACAGAUAUGGUCGCAUAUGAAAAUCUUAUCAUAAAUUGAAUGGAUUCGAUGACUUAAUUGAAGUUAUGAACGGAUAUUUAAAUAAAAGAAAAUUUAUAAUAAAGAAAAGUAUUAAUUUGUUGUGAAUGUAACUUAUAUAAGCUGUAAGUUAGCGGGACUCUUCAAAUAAUUCUAAUAUUUUGAUUUUUAAUUCUUAUAUUUAAAAAAAUAUCUUUUGUAGUUAAAUAUAUUUUUUUUUUAUCCUUACUUUUACUUUACUUUUAUAAUAAUAGCCUUCUAAUUUUUUUUAACAUUAAUUAAGUUAUUUAUAAAAUUUUAAUUAUAAAAUUUACUAAUAAUUAUUUAUUAAUAAAUUAACUAAUAAAUAUCAGUAUGAAAGAACUAAUAUUUUUUUAACCCAUGCAAUAAUCUUGCAAAUAAUUUUUUUAUAAAUAAAAAUUAAUAUCAACUAACUUAAAGUGGUGUUUAAUAUCCUUACAAUAAUUAUAUUAAUAUUAAUUUAUAAAAAAUUAAUUUACUAAAUUAAUCUUAAAACUAAAUUAAUAACAUAAAAAUUUAUAAAACUAAUUAUUUUACUUUUCAUCGGCUGCAAUUUGUUGAAACUUGGGUGAAGACAAAUUGAGAUCUUAGAAAUCUCCAAUGAGAUAAUAAAAUAUAAUAUAUAUGUUAGGUCUUUGUUUUUUUUUUUUUUUUUUGGUUUAAACCACCCGAUUUCCGACGACCGCAUUGGGCCCCGACUAAUUCGGAUUCGGGGUGUAGUCACAGUUAAGGCUCUUUACCCCUCCCAAAUGGUGUGUUUAGUAGGGAUCAAACCCGAGAGCUCUUUCCACUUACCCAACCUGCGUCGCCAACUGAACCACAACCGUUUGAUUAGGUCUUUGUUCUUUAGAGAAUAGAUCCUAUUGAAAUUUGAACACGAAUAUCGAUUACUCACAAAUAAAAUAAAUUUGCUGAGGCGGCUCGACUAAGACGUACGGGCAGCAUAAUUAAGUCCUCAUAACUCUCAAGUGCAGGCAUCAAAAAAUCAAAACUGAGAAUGACUGGUGAUAUAUAUAUAUAUAUAUAUAGACACCUCAAGCAAUUAAGAAAGAAGCAAAUUAUAAUCAUGGCUUCUAUAGCUGAUCAGGAAGAAGAGACAAAUAAUUUCUCACAUGCAAUGGGACUUGCAAGUGCAAUAGUGCUACCUGCAGUUAUGCAAGCAGUGGUAGAGCUUGAUGUGUUUGAGAUCAUAAGCAAAGCCGGUCCUGGUGCUAAGCUUUCGGUUGCGGAGAUUGUGGCUCAAAUUCCCUUAAAAGAUAAUAAUCCUGAAGCUGCAGCCACGACGUUGGAUCGGGUGCUGAGGCUGCUUGUCAGCUACAACGCUCUUCAUUGCUCUUUUGUCGAUGGACAAAGGCUCUACUCUCUUGCUCCUGUUUCUAAACACUUUGUUCGCAACAAUCGAGACGGCGUGUCGUUGCGUCCCUACAUGGCCUUGUGUCUCGACAAGAUCUGCUUGGAUGGCUGGUACAUAGAACUGCUUCUUUUCUUUACCGUUUCAGUAAAUCGAUCAUUUUCAUUCUCAUGAUUUAAAAUCGAUUAAACUCUGUUAAAAAGAUAUUUAAUUUUCAGUUAAUUUACCUUUAAUGUUAUAAAUGACACAAAAAGUUGAAAGUUAAUAAUUUCUUUUUUUUUUAAUGACGGAGGAUUCUCAAAUAUGAAAACAAAAAUGAUUGAUUUUAACGAACAACAACGUUUUUUUUUUUUUUUUUUAUCGUUUCUCGACAAAAAUUAGUUUUUCGAAUUUCAAGGUUAAUUGUGUGGUCUAAUUUUUGAAUCACCAGCACCAAACCAAGCUUCUGAAAUAGUUACCAACUGUGUUUGGAUUUUGAAAAAUUCAGGUUUGGAUUGAAAAAGCAAAUUCUUGAAGGAGGAAUUGCGUUUAAUAAAGCGCACGGAAUGCAAAUCUAUGAUUACUUAGGCGUCGACUCAAGGUUCAAUGAUGUUUUCAACAAUGGAAUGUUAAGUCACACUUCUAUUGUCAUGGAGAAGGUCCUAGAAUCAUACAAAGGCUUUGAGCAUGUUAAAAAGCUUGUGGAUGUUGGCGGUGGCUUGGGGAUCACUCUUAAUAUGAUAAUUUCGAAAUACCCUCAUAUUAAGGGUAUUAAUUAUGACUUACCUUAUGUUAUUAAAGAUGCCCCAUCUUAUUCAGGUACUUUAUUUAUAAAAUCUGUAUAACAUAUUUGUUAAUGAUUCAUCGAUGCUACACUAGCUAACAAAAGUUAGUUUAUUUAAAUUUCAGGGAUAGAACAUAUCGGUGGAGAUUUGUUCGAAAGUAUUCCUGAGGCAGAUACUAUUUUUAUGAAGGUUUAUAUUUUCUUAUAUCACUUGAAAUCAUCAUAAGGAAAAAUUAAAUAGAGAGAAUGACAUUUUUCUCCCUAUUGUUUUUGAGUUAACACGUACCCUAACCAUGUUACUCACUUGGUAUUAGAACUUUGAUAGAAAAAUUCAAAGGGAUAAUAAGAUAUUAUGAAAACUAUUAAAAGAAAAAAAAAGGUAAAACUCAAAACUAUAUAUACAAGGAAAGUGUCAACAACUCUCUUUUUUUCUUCAAUGGUAAAAUGGGUGGGCAUAGCCCAAAUUAACUAAUUAUUGAUCCCAUAUCUCCCUUGAGUUCAAACUUGGGUGACAAUUAAAUAAAAUUGAUUGAAAACAAUUCGAUCAGGCACCUCGGGUGGAAAGUAUCAAUCUCUCUUCUUUAUGAAUGCUUUGUUCAAUCACAUAAAUUGAUCAUAGAUAUCCGGAAAAGAACAAAUGAGAAUUAAUAUGAAUACAUGGAACUUUUGCAGUGGAUGCUUCAUAGUUUUGAUGAUGAACAAGCCUUGAAAGUGUUGAAGAAUUGUUAUAAAGCUCUUCCAGAUGGUGGGAAGCUGCUUAAUAUUAAUUCGACAAUUUCGGAAAUGCCUGGGAAUAAUGUAGCUUCAAGGGAAAUCUCUAUUUUGGAUACGGUUUUGUUAGUCCAACUUCCUCAUGGAAGAGAGCGGACCAAACACGAGUACACUGAAUUGGCAGUCAAAGCUGGAUUUAAAGGUGUCAACUAUGAUUAUGGUGCGUGCAAUUUAUAUGUUAUGGAAUUCUUCAAAUAAAUUGCAUACUUAAUUUCAUUUUGGAAAGAUCUUCUCAACCCUUGGGGAGUUUCCAAUUUCCUAUUUGUGUUAAUUAUUUUCUCUUUUGCUUGGCCUUGGGGCUUGUCUUAUGUACUUUCUUUCAUCUUAUGAAAAUAAUACGUCUCUUAGAAAGAGAUUGAUGGCUGUAUGUGGUACUCCUUAUGUAAUCUUUUUCAGUUCAUACGUUCAGCAUGUGAUUUUUGGUUUAUUAUUGAGGCAAAAAAGAAGUAUUUUUAUCUUACCUUACUAUUAUUAUUAUUAUUUUUUGUUCAUUUCAAAGUUGAAAAAAUCAGUAAUGUAUAACUUUUUUAUCAUUUAAAGUAAGAACAUUUGACUUUUGAAAGAGUAGUUAUAGAGAACUCAUUAUAUGCCAUCUCAACCUCACACAAGAGUAAUUAAAACUAGAGCUAAUGUUAAAGUAGUUCUAAAUUUUGAAUUCAUUACAAACUUAUCCUAAAAAUUUGCCUUAGUGGAGUUUAUGUGUGGUACUGGUGUUUAUUUCAUUUUUAUUUCUAAAAAUAUAGUAAAUUAAGUGCACCACUAAGUGAACCAGAUGAAGACUGAAAAUUAUUAAAAAUGGAUUGUGGAGAUUUGGUUUUUCAUCAAACAACUACUAAGAGCUAAUAUUGCUCGAUGGAAAAAGAAAAAAGAAAACAAAUCUGAAUAUUAUGAUUAUCUUUGAAAGGUGCAUAGUGAAUAGAGAAAAAAAAAAAGAAAAAAUUUUGAGUUCCUUUAUUGGACGAGUAUUUUGAUUAGGAGAAAUUUUAUAAUGUUGUAAUUAAAAUGAUGGUAUUAAUGCCGUGAUAAAUAUGAAUUUUGUAAAUUACGCAUAAGACUAGUAAAUGAAAAGUAAAAUAAGUAAAUUAAUAUAAGAAUGGUAAAUUGGCGUCUUAAAACUACAAACUAAACAAAUGCUUAUAAAAAUAACAUAAAACUUGUAAAUCAACAUUAAACUUUAAUUAAAAAAAUAAUUUAUUCAUUUAAUUUACAUAAAUGAUGAAAAAAUCACUCAUCAAUUGAAAAAAAAAAACUAUUUAAAACAAUUGUAAUAAGUUUUUAUUGUAUUGGUUUAACUAUAUGUUCUAUAUUCAUUCUUGCACAUUAAAAAAACGAAUCUUUAAAAAAAAAUGAAUCUUUUUCUAUCUAUAGUAUUUGAUACUACACAUGUUAAUUAAGCAAAAAUUAUUUUUUUUUGACGUGAAUCAAGCAAAAAAAAAAAAAGAUUUUCUUAUAUGACUAGAUGUACAUGAUAUAUCAAUAAAAUUGGAUCUAAUUUUUAGUGUUAUAUAUACUUCAUGUAAUUUUAAACUAUGUUUCUUAUUGUACUUAAAGAUCAUUUGGGUUUACGGUCAAGGAGGCUUAAAAGGAUACAACAUCACCUUAUUUUACAAACAGUGAGGUUUGAAAGUCUAACUUUCAGGAUAUGUUUAUCAUUCUUAUAUUACUAGAUGUACAUGACAUAUCAAUAAAAUUGGAUCUAAUUUUUAGUGUUAUAUAUAUUUCAUGUAAUUUUAAACUAUGUUUCUUAUUGUACUUAAAGAUCAUUUGGGUUUACGGUCAAGGAGGCUUAAAAGCAUACAACAUCACCUUAUUUUACAAGCAGUGAGGUUUGAAUGUCUAACUUUCAGGAUAGGUUUAUCAUUAAUAAAAUUUCACAUAUGUCAUCACAUAUAUUAUACAACCUCAUAAUGUGACAAUUAGCUUAUAUAUUUACUAAUUUUGAUUCUAAAUUGAGUUUAGAAUCAAAAUUAUGAGCUAAUAGUCACAUUAUGAGUUUUUAUUUUAUAUUUGUAAGUUUUUAUUUUUACAUUAAGGUACUUGUUUUACCUUCUAUUUACAAGUAUUACAUUCUAUUUACAUCAUUUAUAUUUUAUUUUAUGAUUAAUGUUGAUUUACCACUUCUAUGUUACAUGUAUAAGUUUUUAUUUUGUUUAUCAAUAAUAUAAUGAUUUAUGACUUUUAUGUUAAUUUAUUUGUUUUACCUUCUAUUUACAAGUUUUAUGUCCCAUUUACUUUUAUUUACACUUUAAUGUUAAUUUACAAAUUUUAUAUUAUAUGUAUAAGUUUUUGUUUUAUUUACUAAUGAUACACCAAUUAACUACUCCUAUAUUAAUUUACUUAUUUUACCUUCUAUUUACAAAUCUUGUAUUCUAUUUAACACAAAUGUUGGCAUGAGAUUCCUGACAUAUUUCUAAAAUCAAAAUAAGAUGCAUAGAGGAUGAUCAUUUUAUUUCAUAAUUAAAAUUUUUGUAAAGAAAGUUUGAAUAUGAGAGGGGUGAGAGAUGAGAAUAUUGACGAUAGUGCGUACUUUGGAUGGAAAAAUAGAUUGAAAAUAUAUAUAGACAUAUUAAAAGAAAAAAAUCUGAUCUAUACCUCAAGAGAAAUAAGAAAUUAUAAAUGCAGGUGGUCAAAUGUAUUUAUAAUUUAUAAUUUUUUAUAAAUAUGAUAAUCAUUAGACCCAUAUAAAAGUAUAGCAAAAUGUUUAAAUUUUUUUUAAUAAAUGUAGAAGAGAUGGACGAAGAAAACAGCCACCAGUUCAGAAUUAACAAUCAAAGAUAUGAGGACUUGAUCGAAGAAAUGUGAAAAAUAAAAGGACACUGGGUUGGUUAGCGGGACCCUAAUUUAAUGGUAAAAAAUAAAAGGACACUGGGUUGCUAUCAAUUUCUACGGUGUGGUAGGUUCAUAGCAGGGGAAGUAAUUAUAUUAGCGGGACCCUAACAUUAAUAAAAGGACACUGGGUUGUUUAGCGGGACCCUAAUAUUAAUGGUAAAAAAUAAAAGGAAACUGAGUUGGUAUCAAUUUCUACGGUGUAGGUUCAUAGCCGGGGAAGUAAUUAUAUUAGCGGGACCCUAAUAUUAAUGGAGACCUAAUAUUAAUGAUAAAAAAUAAAAGGACACUGGGUUACAAUCAAUUUCUACAGAGUGGGUUCAUAGCCGGAGAAGUAAUUGGGCACAAAUAUCAUGGUGAACACGGAUGAGAAAUAACCAUUUUAUCCCCGCAACUUUAUGUUUAUGGCCUCUAAAAAUUUUCACCUCUUUCACUUCUGGACCCGCGCUUUCUGGCACAUGCACGAUACUUGGUUGCGACUUAUAGAGAGUUUUAGAAUUGCAACGACAUGGUGCUCUUUGAUAAUUCAAAAAUCCAAUAGAAUUUAUAGAGAAUUACAGAAUUGUGGUACGUGAUAAUUUGCUGAUGCAGUGAGGGGCCGAAAUUCUUGUACAUGUGAUUAAGUUAGAGAUGUAUAAUUAAGUAAUUAGCAAGCACUAAUGGGGGGUAUUUGUGUCCAUGAAAAUUUACGGUUGGUUGUUGACAUUAUACUGUGGGUGCGUAAGUGUAAUCACGAUCUGACCAUUCAAAUUAAAAAAUGGGGGUCCCACUAACUAUAAAGUUAAUAAUUAUCACAUAAACAGGGGGAAUUUUAGGUGCAACUGUGACACCGUGCCACAGUUGCACCUAGUCAUUGGAUGUCAGUAGACUCUAUUACUCCAACUGCAUCCAACGGUUAGAUGCAAUUGUGGCACGGUGCCACAGUUACACCGUAGCCUGAUCCCAUAUACAGAUAUGGUCGCAUAUGAAAAUCUUAUCAUAAAUUGAAAGGAUUCGAUGACUUAAUUGAAGUUAUGAACGGAUAUUUAAAUAAAAGAAAAUUUAUAAUAAAGAACAAGUAUUAAUUUGUUAUGAAUGUAACUUAUAUAAGCUGUAAGUUAGCGGGACUCUUCAAGUAAUUCUAAUAUUUUGAUUUUUAAUUUUUAUAUUUUAAAAAAUAUCUUCUGUAGUUAAAUAUAUUUUAUUUUUAUCCUUACUUUUACUUUACUUUUACAAUAAUAGCCUUCUAAAAAUUUUUUAACAUUAAUUAAGUUAUUUAUAAAAUUUUAAUUAUAAAAUUAACUAAUAAUUAUUUAUUAAUAAAUUAACUAAUAAAUAUCAGUACGAAAGAACUAAUAUUUUUUUAACCCAUGCAAUAAUCUUGCAAAUAAUUUUUUUAUAAAUAAAAAUUAAUAUCAACUAACUUAAAGUGGUUUUUAAUAUCCUUACAAUAAUUAUAUUAAUAUUUAUUUAUAAAAAAUUAAUUUGCCAAAUUAAUCUUAAAACUAAAUUAAUAACAUAAAAAUUUAUAAAACUAAUUAUUUUACUUUUCAUCGGCUGCAAUUUGUUGAAACUUGGGUGAAGACAAAUUGAGAUCUUAGAAAUCUCCAAUGAGAUAAUAAAAUAUAAUACAUAUGUUAGGUCUUUGUUCUUUAGGGAAUAGAUCCUAUUGAAAUUUGAACACGAAUAUCGAUUACUCACAAAUAAAACAAAUUUGCUGAGGCGGCUCGACUAAGACGUACGGGCAGCAUAAUUAAGUCCUCAUAACUCUCAAGUGCAGGCAUCAAAAAAUCAAAACUGAGAAUGACUGGUGAUAUAUAUAUAUAUAUAUAUAUAUAUAUAGACACCUCAAGCAAUUAAGAAAGAAGCAAAUUAUAAUCAUGGCUUCUAUAGCUGAUCAGGAAGAAGAGACAAAUAAUUUCUCACAUGCAAUGGGACUUGCAAGUGCAAUAGUGCUACCUGCAGUUAUGCAAGCAGUGGUAGAGCUUGAUGUGUUUGAGAUCAUAAGCAAAGCCGGUCCUGGUGCUAAGCUUUCGGUUGCGGAGAUUGUGGCUCAAAUUCCCUUAAAAGAUAAUAAUCCUGAAGCUGCAGCCACGACGUUGGAUCGGGUGCUGAGGCUGCUUGUCAGCUACAACGCUCUUCAUUGCUCUUUUGUCGAUGGACAAAGGCUCUACUCUCUUGCUCCUGUUUCUAAACACUUUGUUCGCAACAAUCGAGACGGCGUGUCGUUGCGUCCCUACAUGGCCUUGUGUCUCGACAAGAUCUGCUUGGAUGGCUGGUACAUAGAACUGCUUCUUUUCUUUACCGUUUCAGUAAAUCGAUCAUUUUCAUUCUCAUGAUUUAAAAUCGAUUAAACUCUGUUAAAAAGAUAUUUAAUUUUCAUUUAAUUUACCAUUAAUGUUAUAAAUGACACAAAAAGUUGAAAGUUAAUAAUUUCUUUUUUUUUAAUGACGGAGGAUUCUCAAAUAUGAAAACAAAAAUGAUUGAUUUUAACGAACAACAACGUUUUUUUUUUUUUUUUUUUAUCGUUUCUCGACAAAAAUUAGUUUUUCGAAUUUCAAGGUUAAUUGUGUGGUCUAAUUCUUGAAUCACCAGCACCAAACCAAGCUUCUGAAAUAGUUGCUAACUGUGUUUGGAUUUUGGAAAAUUCAGGUUUGGAUUGAAAAAGCAGAUUCUUGAAGGAGGAAUUGCGUUUAAUAAAGCGCACGGAAUGCAAAUCUAUGAUUACCUAGGCGUCGACUCAAGGUUCAAUGAUGUUUUCAAUAAUGGAAUGUUAAGCCACACUUCUAUUGUCAUGGAGAAGGUCCUAGAAUCAUACAAAGGCUUUGAGCAUGUUAAGAAGCUUGUUGAUGUUGGCGGCGGCUUAGGAACUACCCUGAACAUGAUAAUUUCCAAAUACCCUCAUAUUAAGGGUAUUAAUUAUGAUCUGCCUUAUGUCAUUAAAGAUGCCCCAUCUUAUCCUGGUAUGUUAUUUACAAAAUUUAUAUAGUAUGUUGGGUAAUGAUUUAUUGAUGCUACCCUAACUAAAAGAUGUGAAUUUAUUUAAAUUUCAGGCAUCGAACACGUGGGUGGAGAUUUAUUCGAAAAUGUUCCUGAGGCGGAUACCAUUUUCAUGAAGGUUUUUUCUCUCUAUCUAUAUAUAUAACUUUGAAAUGAUAAUUAUCAAGAGAAUGACAAUUUUCUCCUUACUGCUUUUGAGUUUUACAAUUUACUCAUUUGACGUCAAUUUUUUCAUUGAAAAACUCAAAAGGAUAACAAGAUAUUAUGAAAAUCGAAAAAAAAACAAUAAAACUCAAAAAUAGUAUACCGGAAAAAGUGUAAAUCUAUCUUGUCUAUGAAUUGAUAAUUGAUAUUCAAUUACAACUAAUUAAUGAGAAUUGAUAUGUAUAUGAAUUUUUUUUUGCAGUGGAUGCUUCACAAUUUUGAUGAUGAGCAAACUUUGAAAUUGUUGAAGAAUUGUUACAAAGCUCUUCCAGAUGGUGGGAAGCUGCUCAAUAUUAAUUCAACAAUUUCAGAAGUGCCUCAAAAUAGUGCGGCUUCAAGGGAAAUCUCUAUUUUGGAUACAAUUUUGUUGAUCCAAAUUCCUCAUGGAAGAGAGCGCACCAAACAAGAAUACAAUGAAUUGGCAAUUAAAGCUGGAUUUAAAGGUGUCAGCUACGAAUGUGGUGUAUGUAAUUUAUAUGUUAUGGAGUUCUUGAAAUAGAUUGCUUUUUUCUCUAUUCGGAAAGAUCUCCUUAGCUUUCUUGGGUUGUUUUCAAUUUCCGGUUUGUCUUGUUAUCUCUUUCCUUUGGAUUGAGGGCUUCUCUUAUGUAAUCUCUUUCGUUUUAUCAAUAAUAAAUCUCUUAUAGGGAGAUUGAUUCCCGUAUAAGGCAGCUCUUGCGUCAUCUCUUUCAUGAAUCAUGUUAUCAAUAAUACACCUUAUUGAAGAUGCCAAAAAUUCGAAUGUAGCAUUUUUUUUUUCCUGAAAAUUUGAAAAUAUUUGAAUUUAAUUAAUUUGAAACUCUGGUUAAAUCUAAAUAUAUAAACCUAAAUGAUAUUUCAUUUUUCUUUGUUAAAGUCUAAUCAUACUUAUUUUUAUUGGUAAAAACAUCCUAAAAACUAGUUUUUGACAUAUAUGUCUUUAAAUUAUUAUACACUUUUGUGUUUGUUGUAUUUACAUGUACGAAUAUUUAUAAUUAGAUAUUUGACAGGUACAAACAAAAAAUUAUAUUAAUAUGCUGUGUUAACUUUCAAAAGCCCAUAGUCCUUUUUGGACCAUAAAUAGAUAGAUCCACCCUUGUGUACAGGGCUGAUUUUUCCACAGAGCAGGCGUUUUGACACUAUUCUAAAUUCUUUAUAAAAUCUCUCUUUAAUUAAAUUACCUAAAUAACUAAGAAUAAAUUAAUUUCCUUUUUGUUUUGAAUGAAAAAUUAAUUAAACACUGAAAUAAACUAUUCUUUUAAUUUUUUACGCCCACCCAAUUUCAUAAUUUAUGCUUAUAUUUUAAAAUGCAAUUGAACAUAAUUUUUCUUAAGAAACUUUUAACAAUUAUGAAGAUAGAAAUCAUAUAACAAGAAAAAAAUAUUGUAAGAUUUUAAUAUUUGUAUGCAUUUAUAAUUAAAACAUAAAAGAAAUACUAUUUUUGGGUCAAAUUUAAUGACAAGAUGAUUGAUUUUAAUUUAUCAGUAUUUUAUAGUUAAAUUGGGGUAUCUUAAGCAAUAGGGUACAAAAGGGGUGCUGUAAGAGCUUUUUGCUUUAAGGAUUUUUUUAAAGUAUCUUAAAAGCUCCACUCUUUUUGAUAUAUCUAGAUUAGUGGUGAAUACUCUCUAGAUUAGUGGUGAAUACUUUAUAACAUGGUUUUUUUUUUUUUACUUUUAUAAUAAUACUUGACAUUUAAUAUUUAAAUCCUAAUUUGAAUCUUAACUAUAUGUCACUUAUCUAUUAAAUAAUGAAUAUAAUAUUACUUAUUACUCUAAUCGAUCAUCUAAUAAAUUAAUGUCACAUUUAAUGAGACUUAAAAUUUAGGAUCUAUAGCAUAAGUCACUAGAGUAGGAAAAAAAUUUGAGUUCCUUUACUAGACGAGUAUUUUGAUUAGGAAAAACUCUAUAAUGUUGUAAUUAAAAUGACGGUAUCAAUACCGUGAUAAAUACGAAUUUUUUAAAUCACGCAUAAGGCUAGUAAAUGAAAAGUAAAAUAAAUAAAUCAAUAUAAAGUGGUAAAUUGGCAUCUUAAAACUGCAAACUAAACAAAUACUUAUAAAAAUAACAUAAAACUUGUAAAUCAACAUUAAACUUUAAUUAAAAAAUAGUUUAUUCUCAUUCAAAAAAUAGUUUAUUCAUUUAAUUUAAAUAAAUGAUGAAAAAAUCACUCAUCAAUUGAAAAAAAAAAUUAAAAACAAUUGUAAUAAGUUUUAUUGAAUUGGUUUAACUAUAUAUUCUAUAUUCAUCCUAGGACAUUUACCACAAAAAAAAAAAAUUCUUUCUAUAGAUUUUGUUAGCCUAUAUGGCUAUAGAUAUUGAUUUUGAUGAUAACAAACCACAUAUAUUGAUUAAACAAAGAUUUAUGAAUUGUGCUUUUAUAAUAAGAAAAUGAUGUUAUGGAAUUAAAGUGUUUUGGACUAAAAUGAAAGUAUUUUAAAACCUUUGAUAUUGUUUUAAAAUUUCAGAUUUGGACAUAUUUGAAACUAUUUAAAUAUUUUGGGUCAUUUUAUAAUUUCACAUAGUUUGGGUGAAAUCAUAAUUUCAGAAAGUUUUGAGAUUGACAAAGUAUUAUUUAGAAACUCUGAAAUUGGACCUAUUUGAAAGCUUUCAUAACGUUUUGGGCCAUAAUAUAGUUUUAUAAAGUUUUGGGGUCAAACUAUAAAUUUAGAAAAUAUUUCACGGUAGCAGUUACUGUAGCAAGCGUCUAACCGGAUAUGGUAAACGGCAAUCCGAAUUUUAGGCAGUAAGCUUCUGGAGCAUAAACGACUAUCCGGAUUUCAAAAGCGGCUAUCCGGAUUUCAAAAGCGGCUAACUGGAUAUGAAAAGCGGCAUGCCGGAUAUUCUGAAAUUCAAAUUUUUGCUUUAACGGUAACAUGAAAGCGGCUAACCGGAUUCCAUAAACGGUAAGCCGGUUAUGACCAAAAAGUGCAUAACGACUAGUUUUUGAGCUCAAACUAUAUAAACUCAAAACCAAUUCAUUUUUGGUAAUCUUGGCAAGCAAAAAAAAGUGCACACAACAUAUAUUGAGUUUCAAUUUCGUAAAUCAUCAUUUAUUAAAUCAUCUUUGUUCUUCAAUUUGUAUAUCCACUCUUAAAAGAGAGUUUCAUUGUUGUAAUUUUCAUUUCUCAUCAAAUUGUGAGUGUACAAGUGUGAGAAACACUUGGGGUGAAGAGAUUGGAGAGAUAAUCUCUUGUUGUAAAGGUUCAUUGACACCUUGAAGUCAAUUGUAAAUGUUUGAAGCCUUGGAAAGGCUCGGAUAGUGAAAUCCUCAAGUCCGGUGUGCUUGGAGGCGUGGACGUAGGCGGGAAUUGCCGAACCACAUAAAAAUCCUUGAGUUUGCUUUCUCUUCCCUUGCUAAUUUUUUAUUGUGCUUUCAUUGAAUUUAUUAUUUUCGAAUUUAUUAAGGCAUUAGAUUGGAUUGUUGUGUGGUUUGCUUAGCUUAAUUUUUAAAAUCUCAAUUCACCCCCCCUCUUGGGUUGCCUAGUUAGUAUUUCAUUUGGUAUCAGAGCGAGGUGCUCUUGUGUAGACUUAACCAUCUAGAGUUAAAGAUCAAUGGCAACCCAAUAUGACUCAACAUUUAGGGAAUGACAGUCCACAAUUAGACCACCGUUCUUUGACAGAAAUGACUACUCGUAUUGGAAAACUAGGAUGAGAAUUUAUUUACAAGCACUAGAUUAUGAAAUUUGGGAAGUUGUUUGUGAUGGUCCUUUUAUGCCUUGGAUUAAAAAUGAAGUCGGGGAAGAUAUUUCAAAACCUUCACGGGAAUGGAAUGAAUUGGAAAAGAGAAAAGCUACUCUAAAUUCCAAAGUUAUGAAUGCCUUGUUUUGUGCACUAGAUAAGAAAGAAUUUCAUAGAGUAUCUAGUUGUGAGAGUGCUAAUGAAAUUUGGCACAAACUUGAAGUUGUUUAUGAAGGCACGAAUCAAGUGAAAGAGUCUAAAAUUUGUAGGUACACUCGGCAAUAUGAAUUGUUCCAAAUGGAACAAAAUGAGAGUGUGUAUUCUAUGUAUACUAGAUUUACGGACAUAGUGAACACUCUAGGAGCCCUAGGAAAGACUUUUUCAAAUAGCGAGAAAGUUAAGAAAAUUAUUAGGUCGCUACCUAAGGAAUGGAGACAAAAAAGGACUGUAAUUGAGGAAGUCAAAGAUUUAAAUAUCUUACCUAUUGAUGAUUUAGUUGGUUCUCUUAUUUCUUAUGAGGAAGACUUGGCAGCCGAAAAAGGCAAUGGGGAGAAGAAUAAAAGCAUUGCUCUCAAAGCCUCAAAAUAUAAGAGUGAUGAGGAAAGCGAGCUGGAUGAGGAGGAGAUGGAUAUGCUGGCUAGGAAGUUCAUAAAUUUUUUAAGAAAUCCAGUGAGCGAAGAAAAUUUAGAGACCUCAAGAACCGAAAGGAGAAGAAGGAAGUAAUCAAAUGUUAUGAGUGCAAGAAACCUGGCCAUAUAAGAUCAGAAUGCCCUCUUCUCAACAAGCUCAAAAAGAAAGCAAUGGUAGCCACAUGGGAUGAUAGCGAGGAGGAAACAAGUGAUGAUGAAGAGCAUCAAGAAAUGACAAAUCGAUCUCUUAUGGCAAUUGGAGAUGAAUCGGAUGAUGAACUUGAUGAGGUAAAUGAUCUUCCUACUUAUGAUGAAUUACAUGAUACUUUUAAAGAAUUGCAUGAUGAGUGGAUGAAAAUUGAUAAAAAGAAUACAUGUCUUAAAAAGAAAAUGGUAGAGCUCAAAAAUGAAAAUCAAUCUCUAUGUGCAAAGAUUACAUGCCUAGAAUUAGAGAAUAAAAUAUUGCAUGAUAGAGUUGUAUUAUCAAAUGAGAAACCUAGCACUUCACAUGAGCAUAUAGAAUAUCACAUAGAUGACUUGAAAAAAGAAAAUGAAAUGCUUAAGAAGAAGAGCAAUGAGUUAAAUGAGAUUGUUUUAAAAUUUACAAAUGGACAAAAGAUGUUGGAUAACUUGAUUAAUUCACAAAAAUGUGUGUUUGAUAAAGGAGGACUUGUUUAUAAGUCAAAUUUGAAACAAAAGUAUUAUAAGAACUACUUUGUGAAGAGUACAUCUAUUAACAAUCAAGUUGUAUGUCAUUAUUGUAAUCAAAACGGUCACAUAAAGUUUGGUUGUCCUAUCAAAAGAAAAGUAUAUUAUGGAGUAAAAUGUGUUUGGGUUCCAAAAGGAACCAUUGCUAACACUCAAGGACCCAAUAAUAUUUGGGUACCAAAGGACACAACGUGAAUGUUUUCUUUGUAGGUACCACAAUCAAGGAAUUGGGGAGAAAUUCCUUGAUGAAAGCUUGUGAGGAUAAUCACUUGAGUAUGAUCUAAGAGAAAAAGAUGAGGCAUGAUGAUUUAAUUGUUUUGGUAACAAUUCUUGCCAUAUUAAUUUUGUUGAAUGAAUCAUGAUAAAUGAAUUUGCGAAAGUAUGCUUGUAUGUUUACAUGAUGGAAUUAUCAUUGUGUAUAACAUUGAGUGAUUUAUCAUGAUGUCUUUAUUUGAUUUUGAUGAUUGUAUGGUCUUUGAUUUCAUCUUCUUAAUUGUCUAUCAUCAUUGUCCAUCUCUUAUAUAUGUGUGAACUCAUAUGCCAUUAAUUGUGUUAUAUCAUCAUUCAUUUAUAAAAUUGACAUCAUUGUUUGAUACGAUUUCAUAUGUUUGGUCUUGUAUACAUUUAUGUCUCAUGCAUGAAAUGGCUUAUUGAAAAAUUUUGAAUCUCAAAAUGAUUCAAAAAUUGAUCAAUUUUUAAGCUGAAAAUAAAUUGGUGUGUGUAAUACAAGUCUAAGAAUUUACUAAACUUAAAAAAUAUUCUCCAUAUUUUAACCGAUAAACCUCUUCUAAUCAAUCGAAAAACCAUUCUUCUUAUUGAUUAUUCUCUAAGUCAUAUUCCAGAUAACCGGAUUGGAAAACCAGUAAACCAUUUAAAGAGAAUUUGGUUUCUGGAAAGAACCGGUCAGCCGGUUAUGAAAUCCGGAAAACCGGAUCUAGUUUGAUGCUUGCUGGACACAACCGGAUAGCCGGUUAUGAGAUCCGACAAACCGGAUUUGCGUUGUUUACUUGCUGCCUCCAACCGGAUAACCGGAUUCGUGACCAUUCAUCACUGGACUUAACCGGAUUACCGGUUAUGUAAACCGGAAACCUGAAUUCACGUUGCACACUCACUGGACCACAACCGGCUAACCGGUUAGUGAAAUCCGGUAAGCCGGAUUCGGGCAUUCAUAUUUUGUUCAUCCUCUUCUCCUUCAUUCAAUCAAUUGGUUACUCUCUCACUAAAAACCACUUCCUCUCUCACGCAAUAUCUCUCUAAAAUCCAUCAAUCUCAUCCUUUUUCACUUCAAAUCCUUUAUACUUGUAUUUGAACACACCAACAUUUACUAUUUUAUUUUUCUUUUAUUUUGCAUUUGGAUUAUAUGGAUGUUUGCUAUGAUUUUGGAUUAUAUGUCUGUUUUGAAUAUGGAUUUGAUAUAGUUAUAUGUUAUGUUCUUUACUUAUGUUUUGGAUAAUUUUGAACUAAUGUGCUUGAUUUGAGGUUUUGAUGAUUGAUAGAGGGAGACAAAUAUGAUAUGUUUUUUGAUAAAAUCAUUUGGUUAAAAUUUUAAAUUGGUCAUAUAUUUAAGGGGAGCAUAUAAUAUGAUUUUGAAUAAUAUGCAUUUUGAACUUUUUUAUUGUCCAAAGGGGGAGACAAAGUAAUAUAUCAUUUCGAUGUUGUUAAAAAGAGGAGAAUAAUAUACACUUUAAGUAUUCUUUUAAUGAUUGAUAUUUGAUUAUGAUGAUGAUUUUGAGAUAAUGAUGAUUUGAUUACAUAGUUGUUUUAUAUGAUAAUUUUAUGUUAUGAGUUGUUGAUUUGGUAAUUAAUGGAAUAAUGGUUCAUGAUAUUUUGGUGUGAUGAUUUGUGUAUGGAGUUGGCUUGUAUCAUGAUUUAUAAUAAUUUGUGAGUAAUAUUACUAAACUUAUAUUUGAGGUAAUGCUUGUUGUUAGGGGGAGAAUGUGUUGAAAUUUCUACUCGGACAAACAUGAGUAAUAAAUUUGUUACUCUUAUUCUUUUCCUUUAAGCUUUCUUUUUUAUGAUGAAGGAGGAGAAUAAUAUAAAAAGUGUUAUAAAAAUAUGCAUGUAUCCAGGGGGAGUAUGCAUGUAUGCAGGGGGAGUCUUUUUAAAUAAUUUUUAAAUCAAAUUUUUAACCUUGCAUUGAUUAAGGGGGAGCUUUUCAUAACUAGAUUAAAUUUUUAUAAUGUGCUUUGUCAUCAUAAAAAAUGAGGAGAUUGUUAGCCUAUAUGGCUAUAGAUACUGAUUUUGAUGAUAACAAAUCACAUGUGUUGAUUAAACAAAGAUUUAUGAAUUGUGCUUUUAUAAUAAGAAAAAUGAUGUUAUGGAAUUAAAGUGUUUUGUACUAAAAUGAAAGUAUUUUAAAACCUUUGAUAUUGUUUUAAAAUUUUGGAUUUGGACCUAUUUGAAACUAUUUAAAUAUUUUAGGUCAUUCUAUAAUUUCACAUAGUUUGGGUGAAAUCAUAAUUUCAGAAAGUUUUGGGAUUGACAAAGUAUUAUUUAGAAACUCUGAAAUUGGACCUAUUUGAAAGUGUUCAUAACGUUUUGGGCCAUAAUAUAGUUUUAUAAAGUUUUAGGGUCAAACUGUACAUUUAAAAAAUAUUUCCACUCUUAAAGAGAGUUUCAUUGUUGUAGUUUUCAUUUCUCAUCAAAUUGUGAGUGUACAAGUGUGAGAAACACUUGGGGUGAAGAGAUUGGAGAGAUUAUCUCUUGUUGUAAAGGUUCAUUGACACCUUGAAGUCAAUUGUAAACGUUUGAAGCCUUGGAAAGGCUCGGAUAGUGAAAUCCUCAAGCCCGGUGUGCUUGGAGGCGUCGACGUAAGCGAGAAUUGCCGAACCACGUACAAAUCCUUGAGUUUGCUUUCUCUUCCCUUGCUCAUUUAUUAUUGUACUUUCAUUGAAUUUAUUGUUUUUAAAUUUAUUAAGACAUUAGAUUGAAUUGUUGUGUGAUUUGCUUAGCUUAAUUUUUAAAAUCUCAAUUCACCCCCUCUUGGGUUGCCUAGUUAGUAUGUCAGAUUUGAUACUACACAUGUUAAUUAAGCAAUUUUUUUUUUGACGUGAAUCAAGUAAAAACAAAAUAGAAAGAUAUUCUUAUAUUACUAGAUGUACAUGAUAUAUCAAUAAAAUUGGAUCUAAUUUUAGUUUUAUAUAUACUUCAUGUAAUUUUAAACUAUGCUUCUUAUUGUACUUAAAUAUCAUUUAGGAUUACUGUCAAGGAGGCUUAAAAGAAUACAAAAUCACCUUAUUUUACAAACAGUGGGGUUUGAAAGUCUAACUUUGAGGAUAGGUUUAUUAUUAAUAAAAUUUCAUACAUAUCAUCACAUAUAUUACACAAACUCAAAACUAUAAUUAUUUAAUUUAGAAUCAAAAUUAGUAAAUAUAUAAGCUAAUCGUCACAUUAUGAGUUUUUAUUUUAUAUUUGUAAGUUUUUUUUUAAAUAACUCUUACAUUAAGUUACUUGUUUUACAUUCUAUUUACAAGUAUUAUAUUCUAUUUAUAUCAUUUAUAUUUUAUUUUAUGCUUAAUGUUGAUUUACCACAUCUAUGUUACAUGUAUAAAUUUUUAUUUUGUUUAUCAAUAAUAUACUGAUUUACCAUUUUUAUGUUAAUUUAUUUGUUUUACCUUCCAUUUACAAGUUUUAUGUCUCAUUUACUUUUUUUAUGUUGUAUUUACACUUUAAUGUUAAUUUACAAGUUUUAUAUUAUAUGUAUAAGUUUUUGUUUUAUUUACUAAUGAUACACCAGUUUACUACUCCUAUAUUAGUUUACUUAUUUUACCUUCUAUUUACAAAUCUUGUAUUCUAUUAAUAUAAUUUACAUUUUAUUUUACACUUAAUGUUGAUUUAUAAGUUUUAUGAUACAUCUAUAAGUUUUUAUUUUGUUUACUAAUAAAACAUUAAUUUACCACUCCUAUGUUGAUUUACUUGUUUUAUCUUCCGUUUACAUGCUUAAUGCUUCACUUAUAUAAUUUAUGUUUUAUUUUAUACUUUAUGUUAAUUAACAAGUUUUAUAUUACAUUGUAAGUUUUUAUUUUAUUUACUAUUGAUACAUCAAUUUAUUACUCUUAUAUUAAUUUACAUGUUUUACCUUUCGUUUAGAAGUUCUAUAUUCCAUUUACAUAAUUUAUAUUUUCAUUUACACUUUAUGUUGAUUUACAAGCAUUAUGCUAUAUUUGUAAGUUGUUGUUUUGAUUAACUAAUUUACAAAUCAUAUUUUAGUUUUAUUGUUUUAUCUUACAUUAAGUCAUUAACAAGUCUUAUGUUUUAUUUAUAUAAUUUAUGUUUGGAUAAAUAUUCAAUUAAUCCCAAUAUUUUGACUUUAAUGCCCAUUUAGUUCCUAUAUUUUAAAAAGUACCUCAAAACACCCAUGUAGUUAAAUAAAUUUUAUUUUUACCCUUGCUUUUGCUUUACUUUUACAAUAAUAGCCUUCCAAAAAAAAUUUAACAUUAAUUAGGUUAUUUAUAAAAAUGUAAUUAUAAAAAUUAACUAAUAAUUAUUUAUUAACAAAUUAAUCAAUAAAUAUCAGUAUGACAGAACUAAUAUUUUUCUUAAACCCAUGCAGUAAUCUUGCAAAUAGUUUAUUUAUAAAUAAAAAUUAAUAUCAACUAACUUAAAGUGAUGUUUAAUAGCCUUACAACAAUUAUAUUAAUAUUUAUUUUAUAAAAAAAUAGUUUAGCAAAUUAAUCUUAAAAGUAAAUUAAUAACAUAAAAUUUUUUAAAAAUAAUUAUUUUAUUUUUCACCAGCUGCAGUUUGUUGAAACUUGGUGAAGACAAAUUGAGAGCUUAGAAAUCUCCAAUGAGAUAAUAAAAUAUAUAUGUUAGGUCUUCGUUCUUUAAAGAGUAGAUCCUAUUGAAAUUUGAAAAGGAAUAUCGAUUACUCACAAAUAAAACAAAUUUGCUGAGGCGGCUCGACUAAGACGUACGGGCAGCAUAACUAAGUCCUCAUAACUCUCAAGUACAGGCAUCAAAAAAUCAAAACUGAGCAUGAUGUGUGAUAUAUAUAAAUAUAUAUAUAUUCCUCUCAAGGACUAUAUAUAGAUUUAUAUAGUCCUCUUAACUCUCAAGGACAGGCAUGAAAAUAUCAAAACUGAGGAUGAUGGGUGAUAUAUAUAAAUAUAUAUAUAUUCCCUGCCUUGUAAGACAAGGUCCUCAAGCAAUUAAGCAAGAAGCAAAUUAAAAUCAUGGCUUCUAUAGCUGAUCGGGAAGAAGAGGCAAAUAAUUUCUCAUAUGCAAUGGAACUGGCAAGUGCAAUAGUGCUACCUGCAGUUAUGCAAGCAGUGGUAGAGCUUGAUGUGUUUGAGAUCAUAAGCAAAGCCGGUCCUGGUGCUAAGCUUUCGGUUUCGGAAAUUGUGGCUCAAAUUCCCUUAAAAGAUAAUAAUCCUGAAGCUGCAGCCAUGACGUUGGAUCGGGUGCUGAGGCUGCUUGUCAGCUACAAUGCUCUUCAUUGCUCUUUUGUUGAUGGACAAAGGCUCUACUCUCUUGCCCCUG